AACGAACGCUGGCGGCAUGCCUAACACAUGCAAGUCGAACGAGACCUUCGGGUCUAGUGGCGCACGGGUGCGUAACGCGUGGGAAUCUGCCCUUGGGUUCGGAAUAACAGUUGGAAACGACUGCUAAUACCGGAUGAUGACGUAAGUCCAAAGAUUUAUCGCCCAAGGAUGAGCCCGCGUAGGAUUAGCUAGUUGGUGAGGUAAAGGCUCACCAAGGCGACGAUCCUUAGCUGGUCUGAGAGGAUGAUCAGCCACACUGGGACUGAGACACGGCCCAGACUCCUACGGGAGGCAGCAGUGGGGAAUAUUGGACAAUGGGCGAAAGGCUGAUCCAGCAAUGCCGCGUGAGUGAUGAAGGCCUUAGGGUUGUAAAGCUCUUUUAGCCGGGAUGAUAAUGACAGUACCGGGAGAAUAAGCGCCGGCUAACUCCGUG
rnacentral:rRNA from 1 species